rnacentral:lncRNA from 1 species
CUGAAAGCCUCGUGCUGUGAAUAGAAUGGAUUUUAAAAAGCAAAAUAAAACAGGUUUGUAUUUCAUAUGCACUGGUAGGUCAGCUAAUAUCCUGCACAUUGUAAGUGUUUAUCUUGCAAAAAUAUUAUAAGCGUCCUUGAGAGAGAUUUGAUUGAAAAUAGCUUAACUGUGACUGACGAUGCUGCUUGCCACAUUGCCCAGCCCCAAAACAAGGACUCUCUUUCAUUCUCCUACGCCUUCCAGAAGAGCACAGUCUGGGUGAUGUGGGCUCACAAUUACUUCGUUCUCAAGAGAUGAUUCCUUACGAAGCUUCAGGACAAUUUUACAUAUUCAAUUUCUAUUCUUACUUCAGAAAAAAUACUCUUUUCUUGUUCUGGUGAAGGAGAAAUCUAUCGCGUGGGACAAUGAGGGGGAAAAAACAAUGCAUGUGAUGCUGGCUGAAGAAGGUUACUAAGCUACUGCUGUAUUCAGCAGGGUGCUCAAUGGCAGCGGGAGUAGAACAUGGGUUCAGACGACUGUCUCAGUGGCCAUCCAGAAGUCCAUGUGAAUGAUGCGCACUCGUCCACCCCGUUCCACCCUCACUUUCUCCACCUGGGAAGGAUUAAUGAAGACGGCUACGUUUGAAUUUAUGUGCCUGUGCUGAGCAUCUCUAACUAAUCUCUGUCAGCCCAAGUGUUCUCUAUUUGUCCCUCACGCCCUUUGCUGAGACUUGAAAAAGAAGCCAGAAAAGAGUCUGUAGUUAUCAGUUCUUUUUAAUUUGUGAAGCCAAGAGACCACCUUUAUUGUUGAAGUAUACAUGAAGGGUCAGAUAAUUCAUCUAUUGCAGACGACCAAGAAGCAUUCCUCAAGCAUUUUCUCUCUGGAUAUAUCUCCCUGCAUUCACAAUCCUCUUCUAUAGAAUGAAUUUUAGCCAUUCUAUGAUUCUACGAGUCUAUGAUAAUGAGAGAGACAAGGAAGACUGGAGGAACAGGAGCGAAAUAG